CAGGGCUUCGGCUCUGAGUGGCGAACGGGUGAGUAACGCGUUGGUGACCUGCCCCAAAGCGGGGGAUAACAGUCCGAAAGGAUUGCUAAUACCGCAUGUGGUCCCCGGAUUUAGAAGCCGGUGACUAAAGCAGCAAUGCGCUUUGGGAGGGACCUGCGUCCCAUCAGCUAGUUGGUGAGGUAACGGCCCACCAAGGCUACGACGGGUAGGGGACCUGAGAGGGUGGCCCCCCACAAUGGAACUGAAACACGGUCCAUACACCUACGGGUGGCAGCAGUAGGGAAUAUUGCACAAUGGGCGAAAGCCUGAUGCAGCAACGCCGCGUGCGCGAUGAAGGUCUUCGGAUCGUAAAGCGCUUUUCUGGGAGAUGAGAAAGGACAGUAUCCCAGGAAUAAGUCUCGGCUAACUACGUGCCAGCAGCCGCGGUAACACGUAGGAGGCGAGCGUUAUCCGGAUUCACUGGGCGUAAAGCGCGUGCAGGCGGUUCGGUAAGUUGGGCGUGAAAUCUCCCGGCUCAACUGGGAGAGGUCGUUCAAUACUACCGAACUUGAGAGCGAUAGAGGAAAAUGGAAUUCCCGGUGUAGUGGUGAAAUGCGUAGAUAUCGGGAGGAACACCAGUGGCGAAAGCGAUUUUCUGGAUCGUUUCUGACGCUCAGACGCGAAAGCUAGGGUAGCAAACGGGAUUAGAGACCCCGGUAGUCCUAGCAGUAAACGAUGUAGACUUGGCGUCGGUGGGGUAAAAUCCGUCGGUGCCGAAGCUAACGCGAUAAGUCUAC
rnacentral:rRNA from 1 species